AGGGGGCAACUCCUUCCAGUCGAGUGGCGGACGGGUGAGUAACACGUGGGUAACCUGCCCGGAAGUGUGGAAUACCUCGGGGAAACUCGAGCUAAUACCGCAUGACAUCUUCGGGACGAAAGUCCUGACGAUCAAAGCGGGGUCGCAAGAUCUCGCGCUACCGGAUGGGCCCGCGCCCGAUUAGCUAGUUGGUGGGGUAACGGCUCACCAAGGCUUCGAUCGGUAACCGGCCUGAGAGGGCGAUCGGUCACACCGGAACUGAGACACGGUCCGGACUCCUACGGGAGGCAGCAGUGGGGAAUCUUGCGCAAUGGGCGAAAGCCUGACGCAGCAACGCCGCGUGGAGGAUGAAGGCCCUUGGGUUGUAAACUCCUGUCGGCUGGGAAGAAAUCGUGCGGUGCUCAUACCACCGUACGUUGACUGUACCAGCAAAGGAAGCCCCGGCUAACUCUGUGCCAGCAGCCGCGGUAAUACAGAGGGGGCUAGCGUUAUUCGGAAUUAUUGGGCGUAAAGGGCGCGUAGGCGGCCAUGCGUGUCUUCCGUGAAAUCCCUCGGCUUAACUGAGGACGUGCGGAAGAAACUGCAAGGCUCGAGUCCGGGAGAGGGGGGUGGAAUUCCCAGUGUAGCGGUGAAAUGCGUAGAUAUUGGGAGGAACACCGGUGGCGA
rnacentral:rRNA from 1 species